rnacentral:lncRNA from 1 species
AGGGAAAAGAGGUCUUAUGUUGGCAGUUAUUUCUCAGUCAAGAUGUGAGACACUGGGUGUGAAAAGGAAGUUAAAGGGCAAAGGGCUGAAGGAAAAAGGACUGUUUCUUAUCAGCAUCUUAACUUGAUUUUGGGCUAGAGUCUGGCUCUUAGGAGCUGUGCCAAAUUGCAUGCAGACAAUGUUCUGGAAACACCCCAAAGUCAACCAAGGAUUGAAGCGAGUCUUAAGUAGGGCUUAGGCCUGGCUCGACGCUGAGUCUCUCUUCAUUCCCAUUGGAAGGACUGCAGGACACACACUGGCUUCCCUAGGUCCACCGUGUGAUAAUAACAGGUUUUUCUUCCCAACGCCUGAGCCGAUGCCACGCAAAGCAACCAAGCACCCUUGAGUGAACCCUGAAACGUUGGCUGCCUUGGCUUUUCCAUCAAGCUCUUGAUUCAGGAGAGAAGCAUGCCCUGCCCUUUGAGCAUUUCCAACUCCAGCAGCCCUGGCCUGAGGUGGGCCCUCGGUCACAGGAUGCUGCUGAAGUCUGCCCUCUGGGAGGAGAAAUGAUGCUUCCUUUUUCUCCUCGUUGCACUGAAGGAAUCCCCAUCAUCGUCUGAAGGCACGCACAGUCUGGAGUUCUGUUUAUGAAAGAACCUCCUUGGUGGGACUCAGCAUCUGGUGCCUGGAGACUUGCCUAUCCCGGCACCCGGCACUUUGAGGAUGCCCUCCUGUGUCACAGACAGCACAUGCAGAGGCUCUGGAAGGUCAGAGAGUGGUUUGUCCAAUAGCACUUCAUGGUCAUUCUUGUCUCCCAGGUGCACACAAUUCACAUUUUGGGUUAGUCUGUUUCUCAUUUGAAAUGAUUCCAAAAC